AACGCGAAGAACCUUACCCAGGCUUGACAUGCAGAGGAAUAUAUCAGAGAUGAUAUAGCCCUUCGGGGCUUCUGCACAGGUGCUGCAUGGCUGUCGUCAGCUCGUGCCGUGAGGUGUUGGGUUAAGUCCCGCAACGAGCGCAACCCUUAUCGUUAGUUGCCAACAGGUAAAGCUGGGAACUCUAGCGAGACUGCCUGGGUUAACCAGGAGGAAGGUGAGGAUGACGUCAAGUCCGCAUGGCCCUUAUGUCUGGGGCUACACACGUGCUACAAUGGUCGGUACAGAAGGCAGCGAAACCGCGAGGUGAAGCAAAUCCCAAAAGCCGGCCCCAGUUCAGAUUGUAGUCUGCAACUCGACUACAUGAAGACGGAAUUGCUAGUAAUGGCAGGUCAGCAACACUGCCGUGAAUACGUUCCCGGGCUUGUACACACCGAUAGC
rnacentral:rRNA from 1 species